AUUAGACGUAUCCACGAAGAGACAGUCCCAACGCCCGAUAUUAGAGCUAAAGUUAUUAUUUCAAAUGUGAAAGUGUUCAGCGGCAAAUAUUACAAUGUGAUUUGGAUAAGAUCAAAAGCAAUGCAUAUUCUUGAUGUACAUUCUGACACAUAGAAUAAAGACAAUAAGGAAAGAUAGUGAAAAACAGAAAAUAUUUGAAAGGCUUAAACAGAAUAUCCAUUCAGCCCUUGAGACUAUUUUUUCUUCUUCAAAUGAUCAGGAAGUUUUAUAUUUUACACACGUUUAAGUCAUUAAUGUGCAGUCAAGUACUUGGAUUUAUUCUGAACAUGGAUUGAAUUUGAGCAAGAACCAG